UACGUAGGGGGCUAGCGUUGUUCGGAAUUACUGGGCGUAAAGCGCACGUAGGCGGCCAUUUAAGUCAGGGGUGAAAUCCCAGAGCUCAACUCUGGAACUGCCUUUGAUACUGGGUGUCUUGAGUAUGGAAGAGGUGAGUGGAAUUCCGAGUGUAGAGGUGAAAUUCGUAGAUAUUCGGAGGAACACCAGUGGCGAAGGCGGCUCACUGGUCCAUUACUGACGCUGAGGUACGAAAGCGUGGGGAGCAAACAGG
rnacentral:rRNA from 1 species